GGUGGUAUUCGUGAGCGCACGGUGAGGAAGGUCCUAGCCUUAAUAUACAUAAAUAAAAUUUAAGUGAAAAUUCUCCGUUCGAGAUAAACUCUCGAAACAUUGGGCUCUUUUUCAUGAUUUAUGUUUCGAAAUAUCACAUUUGUACUUGAGAAGUAUAUAGGAGUACUUUACUCUUCAAAUUAAACUUUUCAACAUUUUUAUUUGAAGUACGAUUCCUAUGAAAUUAUUCAACAGUGAACAUAAACAGUGAAGAUAAAUAGUUUGCCUAUCACGUGUUUUGUUCUUAGUGGAGAGUGACACCACACUAAAUAUUGGGUCUCUAAAUCAUUUAUACUUCUUUGAUCUUUGUGAAAUUUCAAAAUUUAUUCGAAACCAGAAGAGAACGGCUCCAAAGUGGCGCCGCUAUCGAAGAAUAUGGAUUACCUUGAAGAAUU